rnacentral:lncRNA from 1 species
UUCGAACGUCGCAAUUUUCGAUCCAUCGAACCGGGCGGCGUUCUUCAUCUUCUUCUUCUUCCAUCUUGCAAAGCAGUCGAAUCCCCUAAGAAGAACGGAGAGGGUUUAAGGCUUCCUGGGACGAGACCAGAACACCCUUAAACCCUACGCCCGCAGUAUUCGCCGUCGGGUUUCUUGGUGGGUCUUUGGUCGGAGAUGGGGAAGCAGAAGAGGGUGAUAC